rnacentral:tRNA from 1 species
CCGCCCUUAGCUCAGUUGGUAGAGCUGCUCCCUCUUAAGGAGAAGGUCCCUGGUUCGAAUCCAGGAGGGCGGACCA